rnacentral:rRNA from 1 species
AAGAGUUUGAUCCUGGCUCAGGAUGAACGCUAGCGGCAGGCCUAAUACAUGCAAGUCGAGGGAGAAGUUGUCUUCGGAUGACGGGAACCGGCGAACGGGUGCGUAACACGUAUGCAAUCUGCCCCUGACUGGAGCAUAGCCCGGGGAAACUCGGAUUAAUACUCCAUAACAUUAUGAAAUGGCAUCAUUUUAUAAUCAAAGUUCCGACGGUCAGGGAUGGGCAUGCGGCCCAUUAGCUUGUUGGUGAGGUAACGGCUCACCAAGGCAACGAUGGGUAGCUGGUCUGAGAGGAUGAUCAGCCACACGGGCACUGAGAUACGGGCCCGACUCCUACGGGAGGCAGCAGUAGGGAAUAUUGGUCAAUGGACGCAAGUCUGAACCAGCCAUCCCGCGUGCAGGAUGACAGCCCUAUGGGUUGUAAACUGCUUUUAUUGGGGAAGAAACUCCACUAUGUAUAGCGGACUGACGGUACCAUACGAAUAAGGAUCGGCUAACUCCGUGCCAGCAGCCGCGGUAAUACGGAGGAUCCAAGCGUUAUCCGGAUUUAUUGGGUUUAAAGGGUGCGCAGGCGGACUAAUAAGUCAGUGGUGAAAUCUCUCGGCUCAACCGAGAAACUGCCAUUGAAACUGCUAGUCUUGAGUACAGUUGUAGUGGGCGGAAUAUAUCAUGUAGCGGUGAAAUGCUUAGAUAUGACAUAGAACACCAAUUGCGAAGGCAGCUCACUAAACUGUAACUGACGCUCAGGCACGAAAGCGUGGGGGGCAAACAGGAUUAGAUACCCUGGUAGUCCACGCCGUAAACGAUGAUUACUCGAUGUUGGCAAUACACUGUCAGUGUCCAAGCGAAAGUGUUAAGUGAUCCACCUGGGGAGUACGGUCGCAAGAUUGAAACUCAAAGGAAUUGACGGGGGCCCGCACAAGCGGUGGAGCAUGUGGUUUAAUUCGAUGAUACGCGAGGAACCUUACCAGGGCUUUAAAUGCUAGUGACCGCUACCGAAAGGUAGCUUCUCUUCGGAGCACGAAGCAAGGUGCUGCAUGGCUGUCGUCAGCUCGUGCCGUGAGGUGUUGGGUUAAGUCCCGCAACGAGCGCAACCCCUAUCUUUAGUUGCCAACAGGUUAUGCUGGGGACUCUAAAGAGACUGCCUAUGCAAAUAGUGAGGAAGGUGGGGACGACGUCAAGUCAUCAUGGCCCUUACGUCCAGGGCUACACACGUGCUACAAUGGCAGAUACAAUGAGCAGCCACUUGGUGACAAGGAGCAAAUCUCAAAAAGUCUGUCUCAGUUCGGAUUGAAGUCUGCAACUCGACUUCAUGAAGGCGGAUUCGCUAGUAAUCGCAUAUCAGCAAUGAUGCGGUGAAUACGUUCCCGGGCCUUGUACACACCGCCCGUCAAGCCAUGGAAGCUGGGGGUGCCUAAAGUCCGUAACCGAAAGGAGCGGCCUAGGGUAAAACUGGUAACUAGGGCUAAGUCGUAACAAGGUAACCGUA